rnacentral:lncRNA from 1 species
AAGAUUGGUGCUUCUCGUCUGCAUCUUCUCCCAAGUGAAAAUUUUGGUCAUACAGAUUUGGUUUGUUAGUUAGUCUCCGAAAAUGAGGUCUGAGGCAUUAUUGAAAUCUUUUUUGCAUUCCCUUGGACACAUUCAAAACAGGUGGAGCAGAACUGAGGAACAUAGAAUUCUUACAGUUGACCCACUUCUGUAAGAUUUUCACUGGAGAUAAAAGCUGACUUCCCUUCUUGAACCGGGAAAACCAACUUCAUCGCUGCUUGGUUUACAGGCAAAAACAUCAUAACACGUUGACCGGAAACUAGGAAACCAGGUAAAUAAGCAUCAAUAAGCCGGCGUGGGAUGGGAAGGAUGACCCGAGCGCCUAUGUAAGCCUUGACUCGCGUAAUGGAAUUGUCAAGUACGCAGACGGACCAGUCACCACCUUCCCCGUCUAAAUGACCAUAAAGCCCCUCUCGCGCUUCCAAAGAGAUUCAAUUAACCUGGACAUACCGCACGCCCCAACAAAUUUAAGGGCAUAGUGGUCUUUCCAUAUUUACUAUUGGGCAUUUUUUAAACCCGUCCUCAGAUUCUCCUUCUCCUCC